rnacentral:rRNA from 1 species
GACGAACGCUGGCGGUGUGCUUCACACAUGCAAGUCGAACGAGGUAGCAAUACCUAGUGGCGGACGGGUGAGUAACGCGUGGGAAUCUGCCUUUAGAUGGGGGAUAACGGGUCGAAAGACUCGCUAAUACCGCAUAUGACGAAAGUUGAAAGGAGUAAUCCGUCUAAAGAUGAGCCCGCGUCCGAUUAGCUAGUUGGUAGAGUAAAAGCCUACCAAGGCGACGAUCCGGUAGCUGGUCUGAGAGGAUGAUCAGCCACAAUGGGACUAGAGACACGGCCCAUACUCCUACGGAGGCAGCAGUGGGAAUUUUACGCAAUGGCGAAAGCCUGACGUAGCGACACCGCGUGAGCGAAGAAGCCCC